rnacentral:tRNA from 1 species
GGGGGUAUAGCUUAGUGGUAGAGCAUGUGCUUAGCAUACGCGAGGUCCUAGGUUCAAUUCCCAGUACCUCUA